GCUCUCAUACUUUGCGAAACCUGUCAAGGAGGGACUUCCGGCGUUCUCCCGGCGGCGGUCAUUUUGGUGACCAUGGGUCGGCCUGCUUAAUCCGGUUCUGGAGCUCUUGGUCCGGCCCGAGGGCACUGUAACCUUUGAGGAUGUAGCUGUGGAUUUGUCUCAGGAGGAGUGGGAGCUUCUUGAUGGGACUCAGAGACUCCUGUACCAUGAUGUGAUGUUGGAGAAUUUUGCACUUGCAACCUCACUGGGUGCUGUGGGUGCCAGGCUUGGCUGAGUGUACUUUCCCAUCCUCUCCCAAGCAACCCUUCAGCAUCCCUGAAGCCUUUCAGGGAAGGAUAUGGGAGUAGGAAGUCUGCAAUGAAACCAGUGGAUCCCAAAGACUUGGUCACCCUGGCAGAGUGACUGUCCAGAUAUAUUGCAACUCUCUGCCCCAGUUCUGCCCCCUUCCCUCCAGCUGGCAUUUUCUCAUGCCUGACUGUGCCAGGAAUUGCAGGCACCAACAUGGUCAUUACUUGUGGGGACCACUGGGCUAUUCCUAUAAGAUACUCCUCCAAGGUUCUUUUUGUAACAUUAGUUUUUUUUCCUGUGGUCAUGGGGUGGGUUGCUCUGCACCAGUGCUGUCUACUCACCUGCCUUGUCUUUCACUUAGGACUUGCAUCUUCCAGGUUCCAUGUUGUUGCCCACCUGGAGUUGCAGGGAGAGCUGUGGGUGCCUGACCGGGCAGGCCUGACUCCAGCCAUAGCAAGAGGGCCCUGGAAGGGGACUGGCCUUGGGAGGUGGGACAUGAGGGAUGGCUCCAUGUCAGGGCUGGGUUCACAUCAUACCAGGAACCUCUCUAGUGCCCAUUGUUGUUUUCAUGCCAAGGUCAGGGGCCAUAAUUUACUUCUAUCUUUUAAUCUCCAUUCUUGACAAUUUGCCCCUUUAUCAUUUCUAUUCUGACUUCUGGCCAGGGCUAAUCCAUGCCUGUCUGGCCUUCAGGUCUCCCUAUUCCUCUCCACUGCUCCCUCGGAAGGGCUCUCCAGCAUUGAGCUACACAUAAUGUAUUGGUGAGAUGUACACAUAUUCUGAGCAGUACAUGAACACCAGCUACUUGGUUGCAGUUGAUUUCCCCUUUUGUUCAGUGCUCAUGUCACUAGCAGACAAGCCCCUGCUGAAAGCCAUUUGCAGAGAAGUGAGUUGGGAGACCCAGCUUCUCCUUCCUGUACUGCAUCCCACCUGUUUCCUUGCCCAUAGUAGACCUCCCCAUUGUAUGAUCUUGCCAGGCUCAGAACUGCACAGCAGACCCUUUCUUACAUCACUUCAGCCCCUCUGUCCUCCCAACAGUCCUAUGUACUAAUUCCUGGGUUUGUAAGAAGUACAUUUGUGAUAGGGCUGCCCCCUCCCACCAGAGGCUGCAUGCUUUCAGAUUGUUGGUUUUGAAUGAAGGAUGAGGAGGCACUUUCUCAAGGCGUGUUACAACUCAGGACUCCCAGGGCAGGUCCAACCACCCAGAAGGCCUACCCUUGUGCGAUGUGUGGCCCAGUCUUGAAAGACAUUUUGUACCUGGCUGAGCAGCAGGGAAUAUACCCCAGGCAGAAACUGCACAUGUGUGCAGCAUGUGUGAAACAACUCUGGUAUAAGCAUUCACCAGCAACAGAAGCAGCACAGUGGAGAGAAACACCUCAGAAGGGUUGAGGGCUGGCUUUUGUUUGUUAAGAAUUGCAGAGUCCACAUGUCAGAGAAUCCCUUUAGGUAUGGGGAUGGUAGGAAGGACCUCCAGCCCAGCUUGGGCCUUCUCCAGCACCAGACCACUCACAGCAAGGGGAAUUCACCUAGAAGCACUGAAUGCAGGGAUACUUUUCACAAUGGAGAAGGGCAUUAUAGGUGAAUGUGGGAAAGCCUUUAGCCACAAAAAUAGGCUCGUUGAACACCAAAGAGUUAACACUGGAGAAAGACCUUAUCAGUGCAUUGAAUGUGGAAAAUUCUUUAGGCACAACUCUAGACUUAUGGUACACCAUAGAGUUCACAUGGGUGUAAGGCCUUAUGGGUGCAGUGAAUGUGGGAAAGCCUACAGCAGAAGUUCCCACCUUGUUUGGCACAAGAAAGUUCACACAGGAGAAAGGCCUUUAUAAGUGCAGGGAAUGUGGGAAAACCUACAGCAGAAGCACCCACCUUGUUUGGCAUAAAAAAACACUGGAGAAAGGCCUUAUGAAUGCAGCAAAUGUGGGAAAGGCUAUAGCAGCAAACACACACUUGUUCAACACCAGAGACUAUACACUGGAGAAUGGCCUUAUGAAUGCAGUGAAUGUGGGACAUUCUUUAGCCACAAGUCCAGCCUCAUUAAACAUCAGAGAAGUCACAUUGUAGAAAAGCCUUAAGCUAAUGGCCUUUCCUCAUUUGUUACCAGAAAGUUCAAACUGGAGAAAGGCCUCUGCAGUGCAGGGUGUUUGCUCUCUCCUUGGUCAACGGGAAUGACACCAGGGAGAAGUUCUGAGAGUAGUCUUUAUAAAGUAGCCAUCAACCGAAAGUUGUAUCUCAUACAUCUGAACAUCCACAGUGGGGAGAUUUCGUAUGAGUGCCGGUUAUGUGGGAAGCUCUCAGGACCUGUAUUGCAGUUUGGCCUGCUCAAGGCCCUUGCCUGAGUUAAAUCACUGCCAGUACCUGUGGCAGAAGCCAUCUCGCCUCUGCCUGCUGGCUAAUGUGCAUCAGGUUACCCAGUGUGCCCAGGGAAGGCAGACCUCUGUACACCCCCCCUUCCCUGGAGGAAAUCAUGAGUGGUCUAAGGCCAUUGGAGGCAUAAUUACAUUCACACACUGGGUGUGAUUAGAGUUGGGGGGAGCGAGCUAAAGAGGAUGUACCCCAUCUGUAGUGCUUCCAGAAAUAUUCUGCUCACUAAAGCUGUGAGGGAUGAGCAUGUAUAGAUAUUCUCAGGACUUCUAGAUUUACAUUUCUUCUAUGGACAAGGUCACUGGCAGAGCAAAUAAUAAAGCUUUCUGGAUUCCUGGGGCUACUUGGGCUGUUUACCUCAAAGCCACUGUUAGACAGGCAAGAAAAUGGAGACUGAGAGAAGAGAGAUAUUGUAGUCCAAGAAUGUGACUUUUGUGACUCACAGUCUUUAUUGCUUGCUAUUCUUUCCUUCCAUUGAAGUAGAAGUGUCCCACCAGAGGGUUGAGAAUAGUUACGGUCAAAUCAAUAUGUUUGUCAAAUAUUCCAGUUUUUCAAGAGAAGCAGGAGAUCCAGAUUUUUUGAAAGCUCGAUUGAGAUAUAAUUGAUGGGCAGUAAACUGUGUACAUUUAAAGUGUAAAAUGUGAUGUUUUGUCAUAUGUAUGGGCAUAUACAUAUAUGAUUUAAUGAUAUUUAACAAAUUCAUCACCCUCCAAGUUACCUUAUCCUCCUUUAUAAUCCCUCCUGUCCUCCCUCCCUAGCUCCCCAUUCUCAUGUCUUUCACUAAAAACUUCCAAUUCUAGAAUUUUGUAUAAAUGGAAUAAAUAACAAGAUGUUUACUCUUUUUUGCCUUUUUUUCCUCCACACAUCAUCAUUAUUUUCAGAUUUCUCCAUGUUGCAUGUAUGGGUACUUUAUUUGCUUCAUUAGAGAGUAGUAUUUACUUGUAUGGAUAUAUCACAAUCUGUUUUUCUAUUCAUCUUUUAAUGGACAUUUGGAUUGAUACUAGUUUGGAGUUACUGCAAAUAAAGCUGCUAUGGACAUUCA